GAUCCAGGAUGGUGUGGUGGUUUGAGCAUUAGACGAUGACUCUGGAGAUCAGGGUUCAAUUCCCUGUUUGACCA